CCUACGGGGGGCAGCAGUGAGGAAUAUUGGUCAAUGGACGAGAGUCUGAACCAGCCAAGUAGCGUGAAGGAUGACUGCCCUAUGGGUUGUAAACUUCUUUUAUAUGGGAAUAAAACGUUCCACGUGUGGGAUUUUGUAUGUACCAUAUGAAUAAGGAUCGGCUAACUCCGUGCCAGCAGCCGCGGUAAUACGGAGGAUCCGAGCGUUAUCCGGAUUUAUUGGGUUUAAAGGGAGCGUAGGUGGAUUGUUAAGUCAGUUGUGAAAGUUUGCGGCUCAACCGUAAAAUUGCAGUUGAAACUGGCAGUCUGGAGUACAGUAGAGGUGGGCGGAAUUCGUGGUGUAGCGGUGAAAUGCUUAGAUAUCACGAAGAACUCCGAUUGCGAAGGCAGCUCACUGGACUGCAACUGACACUGAUGCUCGAAAGUGUGGGUAUCAAACAGGAUUAGAUACCCCAGUAGUC
rnacentral:rRNA from 1 species